rnacentral:lncRNA from 1 species
CUUUGACCCGAUGCUGUCAGAGAGCGUGCAUGAAGAAGAAAGUUAAUGGUAUUUCCAUUUAUAUAAGAAGCGCCUAAGAAAUGCCUGUGACGUUCGUGAACUAGUGAUUGUGAAUUCCAAAUUUGAUGCCAACUUUAUGUGUAAAGAAGCUAACUCCUGCCAACAUCGUGGCUGAAUGAACAGCUGGGACUAUGCUUAACCCAUUCCCAGCUUAUAAAAGCCCCAUGGCAGCUGCAGUGAAGCAUCAGAAAAGUAUAGUAAGAAGAAACUGAAUUUGAAGUGGAUUCUUACAAAGGAAAAAGAAAAUCACUAUUGUAACUAUACCAAAUUACUAUGUAUGUGAGCUCCCAGCUUUGACAUCAAGUCGUUACAGCCACGUAAUGGGAUUACGGCUGUGAGUUUUAGGGGUGGCUAAGCCCCUCCCUACACGUGGAGGCUGAAUCUUCACCAGACUACCAGACAAAGAGAUGAGAAGGGAGGUUGGAUGGGAAUGUUCUGGGAAAGUUUACCUCACUAUUUAAAGCCACCCAAGUCAGGGACAUCCUUUUUCUUCCUCUGGACUUUGUCAUCUGCAAGGGAUGCUGGAACUGUGGCUGCCAUCGGGGGACCACAGAAAGUACUGGCCUAAGAAGACCAGCUCAGCUGGGCGUGGUGGCCUGUAAUCCCAGCAUUUUGGGAGGAUGCGGGCAGAUCAUGUGAAGUCGGGAGUUCAAGACCAGCCUGACCAACAUGGAGAAGCCCUGUCUCUACUAAAAAUACAAAAUUAGCCGGGUGUGGUGGCGCAUGCCUGUAAUUCUAGCUACUGGGGAGGCUGAGGCAGGAGAAUUGCCUGAAUCCGAGAGGUGGAGGUUACAGUGAGCGGAGAGGGCGCCACUGCACUCCCGUCUGGGCCAAUGAGAGUGAAACUCCAUCUCAAAAAAAAAAAAAGAUGAGCUCACACUGGGGAUGACGGGUGGAAGAAAGGCCAGCUGUAAUGAACUUGCUGGUUUUGGUAAAUUCAUUGCCUUACCCUUGGACCUGGUAUUGUUUGAGAAAAUAAAUUAUUUUGCCAUCUUA